rnacentral:pre_miRNA from 1 species
AAAGUGAUCGGGUUGCCGUCUGAGUACAAGGCCAUCAUGGCCUCUCACGCGGCAAGCUGCUCACUUCGA